UGAAUACUACCUGUUGACCGAUAGCGGAUCAGUACCGUGAGGGAAUGGUGAAAAGUACCCCGGGAGGGGAGUGAAAUAGUACCUGAAACCGUGUGCUUACAAUCCGUCAAAGCCUCCCUUCGUGGUGGGGUGAUGGCGUGCCUUUUGAAGAAUGAGCCUGCGAGUUAGUGAUGCGUGGCGAGGUUAACCCGUGGUGGGGGAGUCGUAGCGAAAGCGAGUCCGAUAAGGGCGUGAGUCGCGUGUUCUAGACCCGAAGCGGUGUGAUCUAUCCAUGG
rnacentral:rRNA from 1 species